ACGCACGCUGGCGGCGUGCUUAACACAUGCAAGUCGAACGCUGAAGCACCAGCUUGCUGGUGUGGAUGAGUGGCGAACGGGUGAGUAAUACGUGAGUAACCUGCCCUUGACUCUGGGAUAAGCCCGGGAAACUGGGUCUAAUACUGGAUGCUACAUGUCACCGCAUGGUGGUGUGUGGAAAGGGUUUACUGGUCUUGGAUGGGCUCACGGCCUAUCAGCUUGUUGGUGAGGUAAUGGCUCACCAAGGCAACGACGGGUAGCCGGCCUGAGAGGGUGACCGGCCACACUGGGACUGAGACACGGCCCAGACUCCUACGGGAGGCAGCAGUGGGGAAUAUUGCACAAUGGGCGAAAGCCUGAUGCAGCGACGCCGCGUGAGGGAUGACGGCCUUCGGGUUGUAAACCUCUUUCAGCAGGGAAGAAGCCACAAGUGACGGUACCUGCAGAAGAAGCGCCGGCUAACUACGUG
rnacentral:rRNA from 1 species